GAAUCAGUUAUCCAUUGAUGGGCACUGAAGGGAGAGCCAGAGGGAGGGAGACCCAGGGGGAAGGUACCGAUGCUGCCCUGCAGGAGCUUGCGAGCUGGUGGCAAGGUUCCAAGCCGGAUUGCUUCCCAGAGCAUAAUCUUCAGAACUUGGAAGCUGAGCUCAGCGAGUUGAUUCCUGGCUAAUUACCAACUCUGAUCUGAGGCAAGUUACUUGACCUCUCUAUCUUAGUUUUAUUAUCUAUAAAGUGACAA
rnacentral:lncRNA from 1 species